AUGCUGACUCCCGGAUUAUACAAAAUCUCCACAAGAAAGCAGAGAACAGUGUCCAAGGAGCUGCACGAGGAUAACUGGAUCAGAUCAGUCGCCCGCCUUCAGUCUCCCAUACACCUGCAGGAAUUCAUCUCGAUAGCAUCUCUGACCUCCCACGUUACACUGACUACGAACAGGGAGGACUCCAUCUCCUGGCGUUGGACUACAAAUGGAAUCUACUCCGCGGCUUCGGCAUAUACAGCCCAAUUCUCUGGCUCCUUCCCCAGGUUCUCGCCGACGAAGAUUUGGGAGGCACACGCGGAACCCAAAUGCAAGCUCUUUUCUUGGCUGGUGCUCCAUGGAAAGAUCCUCACGGCCAACAUGCUCGCUAUUCGCGGAUGGCCGCACGAUCCUACAUGCCCGCUGUGUCUGGGAGCACCGGAGACGGCAACUCACCUAUGCAAGGAUUGCCCAUUUGCGAUUGCGGUUUGGUCGCAUGUUCAGGCAUGGACCGGGGAGGCGCCGACGAACAUGAUGACAAUUCCGCCUCCCAUGGGAGUCUCCGACUGGUGGGAUCGGUUCAUCUGUCCCCUGUCCAAGGACGAAAGACGCCGGCGUAGCGGUCACUUCCUCUACACCAUUUGGAAUAUCUGGAAGGAGCGCACCCGCCGGAUAUUCAUCGGCACCCGCCUCACUCACCUAGAGGUGGCGGCCAUCGCGCUCGACGACAUAAGAAUGCGGGCUUGCGCCUUUGGCAGGGCACAAGUGGCAACCGGCAUUGGGUGA
rnacentral:rRNA from 1 species